CAUGAGUAGCUUUGGACACGUGUCUGCCGGUAGAUCCCCCGUUGUACUUCGGCCGACUACCGGCGCCGUGUCUCGUCACUCUUGUGGCAUUGUCCCGAUGGAUUGAACCCGUGGCUUGCGUGCUAGUACCCGACCUACGGGAAGUGGUGCUUCGUAUAAUUGUUGCCUCACGGUGGACGCCCUUUGGGUGUGCCAUUGUGACCGAAUAGCGCUUGCGGCGUAGCCUCGUACAACAGCCAUAUAAUGUGCCUGUUGAUAUCAUGGCAACCUCGCUCUUGCUUUUGGUCUAGGAUGCUGCUCACGAUAAAGGCUCGAGGCCCUUCGGGUUGCCUCAAUCCGAAACAAUGCUCUCUCUCCGAAAUGGCGAUAACCGGGUACAUGUCUUGCCUCUACCUCUCCACAGUUAUGUGGUAGGAUACGCAACCCUAUGAUCCGGCCCUCAUGGAGGAGGAGACAUGCUCUCUCUGAAAUGGCGAUAACCGGGUACAUGUCUUGCCUCUACCUCUCCACAGUUACGUGGUAGGAUACGCAACCCUAUGAUCCGGCCCUCAUGGAGGAUGAGACACAAUGUUCUCUCUGAAAUGGCGAUAACCGGGUACAUGUUUUGCCUCUACCUCUCCACAGUUACGUGGUAGGAUAUGCAACCCUAUGAUCCGGCCCUCAUGGAGGAUGAGACAUGCCCGCUCAAAAGCGACAAUUGGCUCGGCUGUUGCGUUUGCCUUUGCACGCAAGUGGAAUCGCAGGUAACUACCGACGCUGGAUGUCACCGA
rnacentral:misc_RNA from 1 species